rnacentral:misc_RNA from 1 species
UAAUAAGCGUUUUAUGGCACUUUUUAAAUCCAUAUCCACCUUGUGUGCAAUGUCAGUCGAUCUUCUUCAUGGAGAUCGACCAAACAUCAACCUUAUCUUUUAACUGUCUGUCUUAAAACUAUUAUGAAUAAACAAUUCAAAUA